GCGCACCAGUCGAGAAACCUUCGCAAUGCAGGAAACUGCGACGAGGGAACUCCAAGUGCCUACGCUCAGCGUAGGCUGUUCUCAAGCCUAGAAAGCUUGAGGAGUAAGGGCUGGGUAAGACGGGUGCCAUCUGUGGUAGCAGUCAAUAGAUUCGAUUUGUUACUGCAAGGCAUAAGCCGCCGCGGUAAUACCCGCAGCCCAAGUGGUGGCCGCUUUUAUUGGGCCUAAAGCGUCCGUAGCCGGCCCGGUAAAUGCCUGGGUAAAUCGUGGAGCCCAACUUCACGAAUUCCGGGUAGACUGCCGAGCUCGGGACCGGAAGAGGGAGAGGGUACUUCGAGGGGUAGGGGUGAAAAUUUCCUUUCCAUUAACGCUUUGCGCGAAGCGGAAAGGGUUAUCACAAUCCU
rnacentral:rRNA from 1 species